UACGAAGGGUGCAAGCGUUGUUCGGAAUUACUGGGCGUAAAGGGCGCGUAGGCGGGUUUGUAAGUCGAUUGUGAAAUCCCUGGGCUCAACCCGGGAACUGCAGUCGAAACUGCAAAUCUUGAAUACCUGAGAGGAUGGCGGAAUUCCCGGUGUAGUAGUGAAAUACGUAGAUAUCGGGAAGAACACCUGAGGCGAAGGCGGCUAUCUGGCAGUGUAUUGACGCUGAGGCGCGAAAGCGUGGGGAGCAAACAGG
rnacentral:rRNA from 1 species